rnacentral:rRNA from 1 species
AAUAUUGGACAAUGGGCGCAAGCCUGAUCCAGCCAUGCCGCGUGUGUGAAGAAGGNCUNNGGAUUNUNAAGCACUUUAAGUUGNNNNNAAGGGUUGUAGGUUAAUACCCUGCAAUUUUGACGUUACCAACAGAAUAAGCACCGGCUAACUUCGUGCCAGCAGCCGCGGUAAUACGAAGGGUGCAAGCGUUAAUCGGAAUUACUGGGCGUAAAGCGCGCGUAGGUGGUUCGUUAAGUUGGAAGUGAAAGCCCCGGGCUUAACCUGGGAAUUGCUUUCAAAACUGACGAGCUAGAGUACGGUAGAGGGUAGUGGAAUUUCCUGUGUAGCGGUGAAAUGCGUAGAUAUUGGGAGGAACACCAGUGGCGAAGGCGACUUUCUGGACGAUAACUGACGCUGAGGCGCGAAAGCGUGGGGAGCAAACAGG